rnacentral:rRNA from 1 species
UACAACAUUAAGAGUAAAAGAGAGCACCCAAUUCUAUCAGAUCUUGGCAUCUAAGCAGGGUCAGCCCUGGUUAAUACCUAGAUGGGAGGCUGCCAGGGAAUACCAGUCAUUGUAGGCU